GGGGCCGAAUGACUAAGGAAAGAAUCCCUUCGCUGGCAGCGAUGAGGUCAGGGGUUCGAUCCCCCUAGGCUCCA
rnacentral:tRNA from 1 species